GGGCUCUUGGUCUAGCUUGGUUAUGACGUCGCCUUCACACGGCGGAGGUCCUGGGUUCGAUUCCCAGAGAGCCCACCA
rnacentral:tRNA from 1 species